rnacentral:lncRNA from 1 species
AAAUUAAAAGGGAAGAAAGUCGGGUUGCCUCCCGAUAAGCGCCAUUAUUUAACGUCGUUGGCUCGACUGCUCAAGUGCUCAAAACGUGCCCGAAAGCAGCAGCGAAACAGACUCCGCUGGAACCAAAGAAGAGGCAUCAUAGUACGGCUUCAAACGUUGUCCGUUCACGGUGAAUAUCUUAGCCGUGUCUAAACUGCGAAUCUCAAACGCCCCGUCUGGGCAAACAGACUGUAUCACGAAGGGCCAAUCCACUUCGUCUUCAAUUUUCCGGUCAUCAACCGCAGCUUUGACUGGAACAAAAGUACCUUUUGGCCGACUGUAAAUGUCUUUCCUUGCAAGUUCUUGUCGUG